AUGAUGAUACGCGAGUCUUAGUUCGUAAUGGAGUAACAGACUACAUUAAUGCAAGCUAUAUAGACGGAUACAGAAAGCGGAAUGCAUACAUUGCUACCUUGGGUCCAAUGGCUAAGCAGCUUAGCGAUUUUGGCCAAUUCUGGCAAAUGGUCUGGCAACAGGAAGUUGAGAAGAUUGUCAUGGUGACAAACUUGGAAGAGGGUAAGAAAACCAAAUGCGAGCAAUAUUGGCCGGACCAACAUCAAAGUAAACUAUACGGCGAUACAGAAG